GGUGCUGGUGAUGGUGAGGCGAGCGGACCUGGGAAGGAGAAUCAACCGCCGCAAGGGUAUAAAUAUAAAUAUGUGGAGAGGAGAGGGGGAAGGGGCCGGGAUUCCUAAGGUUUUAUUUGGAUCGGUGAGUUUGUGGUUGGGAGUGCAAGUUGUUCAUUUGGGGUAAUUUGACUGUUUCUCUUUUAUUGGCUUUGUUUGUUGUCGUACUUCGUGUGUUCGCAUUGGAGUUGUAUGGCAUUGUCACUGACAGCAUGGCGUUUUUGUCUUUUCUGCUGGGUAGAAUUUUGCUGAAAAGGAUAUGGUCGACUAUAUUUAUGAUUUGUUCAGGUGCUCGUGUUGAUCUAGACUACGCAAUAGAUAGGCAGGUACGGAGUAGUACGAGUCGCAUCGCAACAUGAUCCGGUUUCUUUUCCUCCUUGUUUGGGAUGCCACGGGCAUACAAAAGUGGGAUCAAAACAGCAACAUUCCACCACAAAAUAUAUGGAUAUUCAACGACAAAUCUAUGAUCUCCAACCACAAGUCGAUAGCGUAAAUGGCAAAUGCACAUGGCGACAAUAUCCCUUUGCUGAAAAGAGGAUAUUUACAGAUUUUCAAUCCAGCUAGCCUCUUCAAUGAGCCUCCAUUCCAAUCCCUCAGCAGGCGCAAGAGGACCAGUUGAUCUAUUUCUCCCGCACCUGAACCACAGACCAUCCAUACUUUCUCCGGGAGAGCGACUGUGAUCCCCAGUCCUGCGCAUAGCGAGGUGCCAUGAGAAAUUGAAGAGGGCGAAUCAUUUCCGCCUAACGGGCAGAUAGCGACUUUAGAAGGGAAGGGGACAGCGGUAAAUGAACAGCAAGCUAAUGUUCCAUGGAAUAAAUAUAAUCUCUUUCCCAUGUACAGAGUACAUCUGGAGAAUUUAAAAUUCUCUUAUAUCUUCGCAUCCUUAUGAGGGUUAAAACGUUGUAAUUCGAAACCCAAGGUGUUUCCAACAUGUUGUAUUAAAUGUAUGAAACGUAAGAGACACCCACUUACAACCAGUCUCACUGGGG
rnacentral:sRNA from 1 species